AGCAGCCGCGGUAAUUCCAGCUCCAAUAGCGUAUAUUAAAGUUGUUGCAGUUAAAAGGCUCGUAGUUGAAUUUCGGGGUUCUACCGUUGGUCAGGCUAACAAGUCUGUACUGGUGUGUAGAAUUUCUACCUUCUGGGAACCAUCAUGUUAUUAAUUUAGCGUGGUGGGAAACCAGGACCUUUACCUUGAAAAAAUUAGAGUGUUCAAAGCAGGCUUACGUCUGAAUACAUUAGCAUGGAAUAAUAAAAUAGGACGGUGGUCCUGUUUUGUUGGUUUCUGAAUCACCGUAAUGAUUAAUAGGGAUAGUUGGGGGCAUUAGUAUUCAAUUGUCAGAGGUGAAAUUCUUGGAUUUAUUGAAGACUAACUUCUGCGAAAGCAUUUGCCAAGGAUGUUUCAUUAAUCAAGAACGAAAGUUAGGGGAUCGAAGACGAUCAGAUACCGUCGUAGUCUUAACCAUAAACUAUGCCGACUAGGGAUCGGACGAUGUUAACUUUAUGACUCGUUCGGCGCCUUACGGGAA
rnacentral:rRNA from 1 species